GACGAACGCUGGCGGCGUGCUUAACACAUGCAAGUCGAACGGUAAGGCCCUUCGGGGUACACGAGUGGAGAACGGGUGAGUAACACGUGGGUGAUCUGCCCUGCACUUCGGGAUAAGCCUGGGAAACUGGGUCUAAUACCGGAUAGGACCACUGCCUGCAAGGGUGGUGGUGGAAAGCAUUUGCGGUGUGGGAUGGGCCCGCGGCCUAUCAGCUUGUUGGUGGGGUGAUGGCCUACCAAGGCGACGACGGGUAGCCGGCCUGAGAGGGUGACCGGCCACACUGGGACUGAGAUACGGCCCAGACUCCUACGGGAGGCAGCAGUGGGGAAUAUUGCACAAUGGGCGCAAGCCUGAUGCAGCGACGCCGCGUGAGGGUUGACGGCCUUCGGGUUGUAAACCUCUUUCAGCACCGACGAAGCGCAAGUGACGGUAGGUGCAGAAGAAGGACCGGCUAACUACGUGCCAGCCGCCGCGGUAA
rnacentral:rRNA from 1 species